rnacentral:rRNA from 1 species
UACGGAGGGGGCUAGCGUUGUUCGGAAUUACUGGGCGUAAAGCGCGCGUAGGCGGCUUUGUAAGUUAGAGGUGAAAGCCCGGAGCUCAACUCCGGAACUGCCUUUAAGACUGCAUCGCUAGAAUUGUGGAGAGGUGAGUGGAAUUCCUGGUGUAGCGGUGAAAUGCGCAGAUAUCAGGAGGAACACCGGUGGCGAAGGCGGAUCUCUGGGCCUUACCUGACGCUGAGGCGCGAAAGCUAGGGGAGCAAACAGG